rnacentral:rRNA from 1 species
AUUGAACGCUGGCGGCAUGCUUUACACAUGCAAGUCGAACGGCAGCGCGGGCUUCGGCCUGGCGGCGAGUGGCGAACGGGUGAGUAAUACAUCGGAACGUGCCCAGUAGUGGGGGAUAGCUCGGCGAAAGCCGGAUUAAUACCGCAUACGACCUGAGGGUGAAAGCGGGGGGUCUUCGGACCUCGCGCUAUUGGAGCGGCCGAUGGCAGAUUAGCUAGUUGGUGGGGUAAAGGCCUACCAAGGCGACGAUCUGUAGCUGGUCUGAGAGGACGACCAGCCACGCUGGGACUGAGACACGGCCCAGACUCCUACGGGAGGCAGCAGUGGGGAAUUUUGGACAAGGGGCGAAAGCCUGAUCCAGCAAUGCCGCGUGUGUGAUGAAGGCCUUCGGGUUGUAAAGCACUUUUGGCGGGAACGAAAAGGACUGUGCCAAUACCACGGUUCGAUGACGGUACCCGCAGAAUAAGCACCGGCUAACUACG